rnacentral:rRNA from 1 species
GACGAACGCUGGCGGCGUGCUUAACACAUGCAAGUCGAACGGAAAGGCCCUGCUUGCAGGGUUCUCGUGUGGCGAACGGGUGAGUAACACGUGGGUGAUCUGCCCUGCUCUUCGGGAUAAGCCUGGGACACUGGGUCUAAUACCGGAUAGGAGCCAUUUUUAGUGUGAUGGUUGGAAAGUUUCUUCGGUUUUGGAUGAGCUCGCGGCCUAUCAGCUUGUUGGUGGGGUAAUGGCCUACCAAGGCGGCGACGGGUAGCCGGCCUGAGAGGGUGGACGGCCACAUUGGGACUGAGAUACGGCCCAGACUCCUACGGGAGGCAGCAGUGGGGAAUAUUGCACAAUGGGCGGAAGCCUGAUGCAGCGACGCCGCGUGGGGGAUGACGGCCUUCGGGUUGUAAACCCCUUUCGGUAGGGACGAAGCUUGUUGUGACGGUACCUGGAUAAGAAGCACCGGCUAACUACGUG